CCGCCCGGACCAAUCAGCACUCCCGCACCGGGUUGUCAACGUCAGUGUCGUCAUCAACUUCAGAAGGCGGGUUUCAUCCAGAGGCGGGGGCCUUGCUUCUCUUCCUAGCUCUUGAUUGGCCAUCUUAGCUGUAGACUGGACCAAUCAGAAUCCUCGUGUAGAAAUUGUCAUGGUUUUCAUCACCAAGGAUACUGGGCGGUGUCCUUCUUCUCAGCUGCCGAUUGACCGCCCUUGACGUCUCCUUGACCAAUCAGAACACACUCCCUGAGAUGGCCUUCGCCUCCUCCUCCUUCAACCCCAGACUUGUGCAUUUUUGGUUAAAGAGGCAGCUCCUGCAAACCCUGGAAAAGCUAUUCCCAGAAUCUCCAUGCUGGCUGGGGAAUUAGUGGGAUUUUAGUUUCAAGAGAAACUUGGGAAACAAGGUAGAUUGGGAUCACUUCUGAUAGAUCUCUGGAUGAAUUCCCGUAGAUGAGCAAAUAUUUUUUUUACAUACACACAAAUCUCAGUUGUUUGACGACAGCAACAAUAAAAUAAUCUGCCACCACCACACUCAAAUUAUGCUUCUGAAAUGAAGAAAGCUUGAAAUGAAGAAAGCUGUUGUUCAGGUUAGAUUUCUGGAGUCCCAGUUGUUUCAUGUUUUCCCCCAAAGUUGUAUUUGGUGAUCUUGAAAGAAAAAUCUAUAGAAGUAGAUCCUGCACACCUGUAGUUUACCAACUGUCAAAUAAAUACCAGCCACGAAAAAUCCUGAAAAGCCUCAUAUAGCAAGGAUAGACAACAGAAUUUCUAGGUUUUAUUGGCCAACAACUCCCACUAAUCAUUACCAGCAUAGACUAUGGUGAGGAAAUAUAGGAGUUGCAGUCUAAAAAACACCAGGAAUAUCACUAAAAAACACCCCCACCACACAAGAAAGUGGUCUUUUUCUUUUCUUGCUAUCUUUUUACAAAAAUCACCCUUCUCUUGGUAUGUAUGGUGUCUUCCCUUUAACUGAUAAAAAGUAGUUCAGGAAGGGUGAUUUUUGUCAAUAACAGAGAAAAACAGAGACACACAGAGACCAGCUCAAGUUUUCUUGCAUCUGCAACAUUCACAUAGCAAAAAAAAGGCUUGUUAAUUGAAUUCAGGCAAUUAAUGUCUGGUCUAGCUUGGACCUAAGAAAGUUCUAUCCCAAAUAUGUUCCAUUUUGAAACCAAAACCCAGGACUAGCAGAGAGUAGGAGAAUGAGACCAAGCUGGUUAUAUGGUACUGAGCCAGGGAUGUUGAAGGCAUUUCUCAGCUGAUGCUCUUCUUUCUGGGGCAUAAUCCAGCAUCAAUAGAAGAAAACUGGUAAAUGGAGCUGCCUGAUGCUUCGGCCAGUUGUAUUUAUCAGUGAGGAUAUUAUAGAGGUCAUAGGAGGAUAUCCAGGACAUUCGCAGGAGAGCACCUGCCAAGCACAAAGAAAAGAAGAGCUGCAACAUGAGGUGGAAGCUUUGUAUAUUCUUUCUGAUUAAAAGGCUUUACAAGGCUUCCAUUUUCAUA